AAUAGAUAAAUAAGGUUGGAAUGGUAAUGUAGGCGGGGCAAGCGUGCCACUGUUAUGAUAGAACAAACAUAACUCGACCGAUUCUUGCAUUCACCGCGUUUAGUGCGCUUCGGACUACUUGGCGAACAGAUCUCCGCUUUAUAGUGCCGUGUUGUGCAAUUAUAACUUGUAAAACAAAAAAUCAGACCUCAAGUAUAGAGCGAGGAGGUAUAUCUUUCGAUCGGUUUCCUAAAGAACCUAACGCCAGGGAACAAUGGAUUGACGUGACAGGUAGAGGAAACUGGAGACAAAGACGAGUAAUAUUUGCUCUAAACAUUUUACUGAAAAUGAUUUUAUCAUAAAAAAAAUCAGAAUACACUUAGUUUUGAAAAAUUCAUUCGCAAUUAAUAGCAAGCGCCAACUGCUUAACAAAUACGUUUUAUUCCAGCGACAGUGACUAUUUGUAAUUAAUAAAAGUAAAAUAGUUUUUUUUUUUCAAUAUUUA